CUGUGCUCUCCAAAGCUCCCUCUCCUCCUCAAGUGUCACAGCGUAUUCUUUUCUGCAGCUGCACCACCGUGAAGAGGAAUGGGCAGAUGGGUGCACAUGGCACGGUCAUGCUGAUAGGUGGGAGUUCACUGGAAAGGAGCUGCCUCCUCUCAGGAAGGUGAAGUCAGGCUCCAGAGUGAGCCCGGGAGACUACAGAGCUGCCACUGCCUCGGGAACAGGGGCCUUGCACAGGAAACCCUUCGGAUUCAUUCACCCCACAGAAUCUACAUGGAGGCACAGGGUGCUUUGCUUCUCAUUCCAUAGUGUGCCUUCUCUUGCAGCUGUUUUCCAAAUGUGUUUAGCUAAGACUCCUUUCUUUAAAUGCAAUCUGGUGUGGAAGCAAAAGCAAUACAUUAUUCAAUAUUUCUUGAAAUAAACCUGUGUCAAAGUGCAA